AUUAUAAGAACUGUUCAUAAAUUAUAAACGGAGAGGUAAUGAAAUAAAUAUCACCAUCAAUUGAAUAUAGCAAGAACUUUAUAAAAGACGAGGCAGACUCACAGAUGGUUUAAGUAUAUUAGUAUAUGUCUCAAAACUCUGAGAAACGUAUGACGGUUUUGUAUUCGCAUUUUUUUUAUUCUUUUUUUUUGUUUUUUUUUUCUUUCAAAUAGAUCACACAUGAAAAAAAGUUGUUGCAUAAAGAGAUGUGUUUAUAUCGUGCGUAAAAAGUACGUACACCAAUCGAAAAAGAGUUAUUAGUCAAGGAUAGAAGCUGAAAAAGGAAACGCUCGACUAGAUUUGAUAAACUCCCUCUUAUUAUCUUAGGUUACGAAUUGUCGAAAUUAACAUGUUUCUCUUCUUAUCUAACCUUAACGACCAAAACUCAUUGACAUUAUCGUAAAAAAUACAUACAUGUUCAUGGUCGUCGAUCGUUUAUAAAUUAUUUAUUACUUAUCGUUUGUCAGUUAUUAUCAUAUUUUAGAAAAAUAAUUGUUUAUUUCUAAUUAUACAAGAGAAAGCAUAACAAUAAAAUAGAGAGAAUACUGGUAAUAUUGUAACGAAAGAGGGAGUUCUAUUUCUUAUUAAGAAAAAACGUGACUUUCGCUCCUAUUGGAGGAGUACUGGGAAAAAUGUACAACGAAGAAAAUUAUUUCGAGUAAAGUAAUUUGUUUCAUAAGCAAUUGUAGUUUUGUAAACUAAUGUGUGAAUCAUUUUUAUCGCGAAAAUGACAAGGAAAUUGAUAUUAUUUUAUGAUAUCAUUGUCCGUCAGCGCGAUAUGACGUGAAUAGAACUUCAGAAUAGAACUUCGAUAGAAUAUCGAAUGAAAAAUCGAUUUUCAAAUCGUUUCGAUUUUUAUCAUGAUCUUCGAUACUUAUCGAUUUUUGUUUAGUCAGGUUAUGGAGCGUUGAUAUUUGUGAAUAAAUUUGACAGAAUAAAAUAAAAAGAAAAAAAUUAAUACGAUUUUGAAAGAUCUGAGAAAUAAGGAUGCGGUAAAAAAAUAUUUUUGAAAUAAAAUUAAUGGAUUAAGAAAUAAGAAAAUAAAAAGAGAACAAAAAAGAGCAAGAAUAGUGUGACAUCUAAAUAAAAAUAAAAAAAAAAUGAUGCAAAAUGCAUAUUCAUUUAAUUUUCAAAUAGUUACCAAAUUCCAUAAAUCUUGUAAAUUUUCUAGAAUUUUUAACGAUAAAUAUGCAUUAUCGAUUAUACUCUUCAUUUCAUAUCUCGUUUUUAAGGAAAACCGAUAACCUAGAAACAGGUACAAUAUUAACGUCCUUCCUCUCCUCUGUAUCCCAACGAACUCUUUUGAAAAGAGUUACAGACGCGGAAUAUCGAUAGACAAAAAUUAAUUAUGCGACGCUGGAGUGAGGAAGAGCAAUAUCGGAUGGAAUUCACGGAACGAACGGAAAAUAGAAGCGAAUUUUUCGAAUUCAUCAAUUCAUCAAUGGAUCGUUCACUAUCGCAUAUUGAUUUCCAAAGGUCAAUUGACACAUGAUGACGCAAAAGAAUCGGAAACUAAAGAAUAAAACAAUCUUAUUCCGAAGAAAGAGGCUACGAACUGAUGGAAAAGAAAAUAUGAUGGUAAGAGAUGGAAUCAAGAAUCAAGACGAAGAGAGAGAGAGAGAAAGAGAAGAAUGAAGCUCCUUGACCCGACUGAUACGCUCAACUGAUUUGAUAAAUUCCAAGCAUUUCUGCCAUUCUAUAGCAUAUAGUUAUAAGUGUAAAUAUGUAUUCCGCUUGGUGUUCUACGUUUCUUAGCGAUGAUACCCGCACCCGGCCUUCGCGAGAAUGAGUUUAAUUGACUGAUAUGCCGAGCCGAAUCGCGGGCGGCUUUGAAGCGUGUAUGAAAGUUCGUUAAUAUCGACGAUAUGUGGGAGAUAAGACGGGUUGGUUUGAUAAUUUAUUAUUAUUACGAUAUAUUUCAAAUCUCAAAAUCCAAUCAAUUCUUAUUCGCUUUAUAUAUAUUAUUUAAAUUUUGUAUUAUUAUUUAUACGUAAUAAUCUAGCUUUUUAAUGCGAUCAAAUGAAUUGGACUUUUGGAACGACACGUAGUGAAUUCUAGAUUUCUAGAUUAUUAUAAGAAACAAAAGUAACACAAGAUCUAGCGUGUGAAUAAACGUAACUGUAGAAUGUUUCGGAAUAUCAGAUGUCCAGGCUUUUGAAAAUUGAAUACCACUUGAACUGGCUGAAAUGCUUGCGCUAUUGUUAUCCCAGAUAUCCAAAACAUUCAGAUAUUAGAUACCUUACGUAUCCCGAAUAUUGAAUAGAGAAUAUUUCAUGAUUUCGAGAUAUUCGAAUUCCGUUUCUUUUAAGGUAUGUACGACGAUAUCUGUACAGUAUGAUUACUAAUCAUUUAGUUUAUCAUAUUUCUUAUGAUAGUAGAAAUAUUAUUGAUUGAACGUUAAUAAAAUUCUCCCAGGUAUCGUGUGACAUUUAUCCGGAGCAUUAACCAGAACGCGCCAAAGCGGAAAUCGCUGGUUUAUCGCGCUGACAGACGCGGGGAUUUAAUCGUUCGAUCGGAUUAGAUGCGAUUGUCAGAGCUACUGUCACGCCUGUCGCAAGCGUUUCGAUAGAAAAUUGAAAACCGUGGAACAGGAGAGUUUAGACUGGCAAGGAGGGACAUUACGGGGGAUUCCUGUAAACGGUUCCGUUUCUUUAAUACAUUGUUCGCUUUUGUGCGGACGCAAACGUUGCGAUCGAUAAAAUCUGACAAAUUACACAACAAUACAAUGACAUUAGAUACGAUCGGUCUCUUGUCGCCGAUAAAAAAAACUCCUCCAACUUGGUCUGUUUUGCCCGAAACGAGUCGCGAUCGUUUCGAUUUUUGCAGCGGUUUUUCCACUUCUUUUUUUUCCUCUUCUUUUUUUUUUUUUUUUUUAAUGCUUUUAUGUAUUUUUUAGUUAACCAAGUUCGAGGAUUGUUGGCCGUUAGGCGGGAGAUUUGACAAGCUUCGAGGACGCAUCCACGUCGACGAUUCCCGCCGGUGGUCCUAGUAAUAUACACUUGACUGUAUAUUGGAUAAGAAAACUUUGAAUCGAGGAUAUUGAACGAGAGGCGCGUGCGUUGCACGAGAGACUGCUUCUCCUAUUUUUUUUUUCGUUUCUAUUACGUUUAUAGAAAUGUGUUACACAUGUAUAUUAUGAUGAUCCUCGGCCUUCAAUAAGCAUAGGGAAAUCGUCGAAGAUCGCAAGAUCGUAUUUUUUUUCAUCGUUUCGUUAAUCUCUUUUUUUCUUUCUUCCUUUUUCUUUUUUAAUCUGACACGUUCAAAGUUUUCUCCAAUUUUUUUUUUUUCUGCUAACUCGAACAUUCUUUAUUGCAGAUUCUUCGUCGUUAUUCGUGAAAUAACGAAGAAAAGGAGGAAGUACGGAUGAACGUAAUCGUGACAUCUUUACGAAUUUGAGUUGAGCCGCCAUAUUAAAAUGGAAAUAAGAUUUCGUGGGAAUCUCAGCCGUCUGGAAUUGAGUAAAUUUUCGCUGACUCGAAAAAGGCAAGCACUUUUUUUUUUACAGUGGCUACAUGAUUCACAAAACGUAAUGAAGCCUGAAAGCUAUGAAAAAGGAGACAGAAUGUUGUUAGCGAGGAUAAAUAGAACGCAAUUUUUCCGCGAUUCCGACGAGCGAAAAUUAUACUGGAAAUUAGAGCACACGAUACGGUAGAUACAUUAUCAGAAAUUAUAACACGUAUUACAGUUAAAUCCAAAAAGAAGCCGGGGAAUAUGGGUGCAGUUAAGAGAGAUACGAUAAUGCGAAUUACAUGACGAAGAUUAAGCGAGAUUUAUAGCGAAUUUAGCAACCAGAUAUCGCCGAGUUAAUAACUCUAAUUGGAGAAUAUAAUGAUGUUUUGAACGUUGGAACGAAACGAUGAUGCUCGAUCGUGCGAUUCGCUUGAAAUCCUUCUCCGCUUCGCGCAUACUAUAGGCACAACUCUUUUUCUUAUUCAAUUUUCAUUCUCUUAAAUCAUCAACAGUUUAGUACAGUUAUAAUAUGUACAAAGUAUACAGAUCUCCGCUACUUCAGAGGAGGGACACAACUUUCGAACUGCGAUGUAUCGUUUUUUUUUCUCUCUCGAAUGAAUUGGUGCUUCCGGUUAAAAGCACCGGUUCGAAUUUCGCGGAUCUUGCCAUUGCUUACGCUAAAAUUGUCUCGAACGACUCUAUCGUAGUGGGAAUAAAAGAAUAAUCUUUGAUCUGUAAUUUUAAAAUUUUUCUUUUAAAAAUUAUCUCAUAGAAAUAACUUAUAUUUUCCAGAGUCUAUCUUUAUCAAGAGCAGAGUCGAGGAUAGAACGAAAUAAGAGAUGUUAACGACAUGAAAAAUCGAAGUCGUGAGCAUGAAAGGAAAGUUGCAAGCUUUGGAGGAACGAUAUCAGGUUUCUCAUCGGUGCUUUUAAUCAGGUAUUGGGACGAGUUUCGUGUGUACAAGUAAACCCGAUUCAACCACGGGCACACGUGCGCGGUACACGACGGUUCAUGGUGGACUGUAAUAUCUAAUGUGUGAACUAACUGGUGUAUCGAUCGUCUUGCUACUGACGCGAUGCAUGCUGAUGCAAGACGUAACGUAAACACAUGUGUUUCAGUAUAUAGAUAUCGGUUAUUUGAAACUAUAAUUACACGAGGAAAGAACAGGAUACGAAGCUUUCAAAUGGGACAUCAUAUCGGCAUCAAGAUGGAAAAGAUAAGGAGAAACAGUUUCACGAAUCGGUUGUAGAAUUCUCACCGUCUCGAAGAAAAUCAAUAUGAAAGUAGAUACGCUGCCAGGAUGUAGAUACCGGUUGGUUGAAUUGUGCAUCUUUUCUUGUACUCUACACACAGAUACAUACUUUGAACCGGAGUGGAAGAUGAAAAGUACCGAUUUGUGUGAACUACUUUAAAUGGUGGGGAAGAGAGAAUACAAGAAAGGAAAGUUUGCACGAAGAGAUAUUUAUGAGUUUGUAUGACCAGCUUUGUCCAGUAUCUGUUUUUGCCUAAAGAAGUAUUGAAAAGUUGGGACAUACCCCGUUUCAGCAGUUCCACGAAACGGUGGAGAGUUAGCUUAGAUUCUUUGAGAAUGAGGAUAACACGAAGAUAACAAGAAGGAGUCAAUUUUAAAGAUAAAAAAAUCUGAAGAAAUUGAAAAAGGAUAAAUUGGAUAAGGAAAUUUUUAAAUUUAAAAAGAUUCUCGACUGUCGUCCCAUUUGAAAAUUGUUGCAAAAAAGGCAAAAGAAAGAUUGAUGGAAAAUGGCGGAUGAUAUGAAAGGCGUAGGAAAAAUAGACGAUAAGCGCGGGAUGCAAAAAUUGAAAAGUGCAAUAUCGUCGAAGACCUCGCACGUAUGACGCUAUAUUGGUACAGGUACAGUAGAACGUGGCCAAAAUGGUUGGAGAAACAAGUGUGUAUUUUCGACGAGCAAUAAACUGGAUAUUUCUUCGAUCUAUAAGUGCCACACGCGGCACGAUGUUCGUGAUUCUAUCACUCUGAACGAAUUUCUUCAUUAACUUCUCCCUGGUACAAAUUACACAAUUUAUCGUUAUCUAAAACGCGUAUUAAUAAUUUUUAGAUAGUAAAUUUAUCGAUAAAACGGCGAUUAAUAAGUAUUUAAUUUUUAGAAAAAGAAAUAAUGAUGUAUAAACAUGAUUCGGAAUGAUCGAAUUGAUCGACGUAUAAUAUAAACAUUCAACAUAUAUGUAUAUUAGAAUGAGUAAUUAACGGAAAAAAUUAAUAAAUUUUUCGUACAAUGAUAAAUUAGUUCAAUAAGUCAAAAAUUUGGAUCGUUCGCAUUGUUCUUUUUUACCCUGAUCUCUUUUGGCCUUUUUUAUUUAAAAAAAAGUCGAGUACGAACAUUAAUGCCCGUGUGUAUGUGUGUGUAUAUCUGUAUAUUUAUGAAUGCAUAUGUUUAUGAUGUACCACGUUGAUUGCUCUGUAACGAGAGCAUCUUUCGUUCAUUCCUACUUUCGGUUUAUGUAACAUCGACUGCACUCUAAAGUAUUAUUAUUAAUAUUAUUAUUAAUUUUUUUUUUAUUUGCAUUCGUUUUAGGUGUAAGUAUUCUACCGUAAUAAGUAUGUUGUUACGACUCGGCGACUACACCGCGCACGGAUUCUUUAUUAUCAAAGAAGUCAUAGACGAUAGGUGAAAAAAGUCUUUAGAGGAAAAUAGGUAUUUUUUUUGUUUUUUGUUUUCUCUUAAUAAAUUGACAAAGUAGUAGAUAGAAUCGUAUUCUUGUACGUGUAUAAUAGAAUUCGUGAUCGAGGGGGAUUUCGUUCUUUUUUUUUUUUUUUUUUUUUAAUUCCUCUUUCGAUUCCCUCUCUUGAUCGAUUUCUAUCAAGAGUGUAUGCGUGUUAUGUAUACGUAUGUGAAAUUUUUCCAGCGUUCGAAUCGUGUUAACGCGAAAUCCUUUCUGGUUCCUUCUCACGAUUCUCCACAAGACAGCUCCAAUAAGUUGGUUCCAUUCGGCCGAAUUUUUCUUCGUCAGAGCUGCUUUGUCGUCGAGAACUUCGAAUCGAACAUUCACCCUCUUCGUUUUUGCUCUUUUCUCUUUCAAAUUGGACUCCGUU